AAGGAUUUAGUUUAAUUAAAACUUUAAUUUGUCAGGUUAAUAAUAUUUUAUAAGUAUUCCUUU
rnacentral:tRNA from 1 species